rnacentral:rRNA from 1 species
GGGGGGAAAUGGGGGGGAUGCCUAAGACAUGCAAGUCGAACGAGGUGUCCCAAUGAAAAUGAAGUACUUGUACGGAAGAGGGUUUGGAUUCACACCUAGUGGCGAACGGGUGAGUAACGGGUAGGCAACCUGCCCUCAAGACGGGGAUACCAGUUGGAAACGACUGUUAAUACCGGAUAGUAUACAAUAUCGCAUGGUAAUGUAUUUAAAGGAGCUUCGGCUUCACUUGAGGAUGGGCCUGCUUUGUAUUAGAUAGUUGGUGAGGUAAUGGCUCACCAAGUCAACGAUGCAUAGCCGAACUGAGAGGUUGAACGGCCACACUGGAACUGAGACACGGUCCAGACUCCUACGGGAGGCAGCAGUUAGGGAUAUUGGGCAAUGGAGGAAACUCUGACCCAGCAAUGCCGCGUGAGUGAAGAAGUAUUUCGGUAUGUAAAACUCUGUUGUAUGGGAGGAAAGAACUAGUAGGAAAUGGCUAGGAGAUGACUGUACCAUACGAGAAAGUCACGGCCAACUACGUGCCAGCAGCCGCGGUAAUACGUAGGUGGCAAGCGUUAUCCGGAAUUAUUGGGCGUAAAGGGUGCGUAGGUGGCAUGUUAAGUCUGGUGUAAAAGGCAAUAGCUCAACUAUUGUAUGCAUUGGAAACUGGCAAGCUAGAGUGUGUGAGAGGUAAGUGGAAUUCCAAGUGUAGCGGUGGAAUGCGUAGAUAUUUGGAGGAACACCAGUGGCGAAGGCGGCUUACUGGCACACAACUGACACUGAGGCACGACAGCGUGGGGAGCAAAUAGGAUUAGAUACCCUAGUAGUCCACGCCGUAAACGAUGAGCGCUAAGUGUUGGCCAUUAGUUUGGUCAGUGCUGAAGCAAACGCAUUAAGCGCUCCGCCUGAAGGAGUACGGUCGCAAGGCUGAAACUCAAAGGAAUUGACCGGUCCCCGCCACAACCGGUGGAAGCAUGUGGUUUAAAUUCGAAAGAUACGCCGAAGAAACCUUAACCUACACUUUGACAUCCCUUCUCACAGAUAUUAAAGAAUAUAUUUUUUCUUCCGAAAAGAGGUUAAAAAGUUGG